CCCUCCCUGCCGCCGCCUCCCCUCCCCUUCAACCUCUUCGCUUUCCUCCAUCGCCCCUCUCCACCGGUGCUCCUGCUCCCCGCCUGCUCUCGCGGGGUCCAGAUCCGGUGCGGGGUGCAACUCGGAGGGAGAGGAGGCGAGAUCCGCGACGGCCUGGCAGUCCGGGAGCCGCGCGCCGCCGCCGCACGACCCCUCGCCGCGCUCCGCUUCCACCUCUACAACCCCGACGACCGUGCGUCUCUCUGCGUGGUGCUCGCGCUCAAGCGCCACCCGUGCAUCGAAGCCAACAUCAGUCGCAUCGAGGAGGUCGAGGAGCCGGUCGACCCUGCCCUCGCCCUCGCAUGCGCCAAUAAUCCUGCGCGACUCGGUGGGUCGACUCCCCGAUUGUCCGCCUUGCCGCCGGCGAGGUCGGCAUCGGACAGGACACCGCGCCCUUCGUCUGGCUCGGCGGGUUCUGGCAGACGCGCGCCAUCUACGAGCUCGAGGAUGGCGGCCUCGUGCUGGAGCUCGAUGAGAUGCGGUUCGACUUCGGGACUAGCUACGAGCUCGAGUGCGAUGGCCUAGCCUGACGGGCCAAGGAGGUCCUGGAGCACCUGCUCACGGUGGCCGCCGUGCUGUUGUUCGCUAGGGGCGUGCGGAAGAUGGAGAGAGCACUGCCGGCGGCAACGCUGCGGGAGAAGCUGCCCAGGUCCCUCUCCGUAUCCUCUCUCCUCAUCUUCCCUGCCUCCUCUAAUCUCUCCUUUCUUCUAUGUAGCUCUCUUUAAGCAUGAGCAGUUACAGUUUUAUAUUGUUGGAUCUUAUUUGUUUAACAUUAUCUCACUAUCUGAAGAUGAACCAAUACGCUUAGCUCUGGUUGUGUGGGUUGGUUAAUUUGAGAGACGUAUCAUCAGUUGCCAUUUUGUUCUGAACAUCAUCAACAACCACCUACAAGGCCACGCAAACAGUCCUCCAUCAGCUUUACGCGAUGAACCCACCAUCCUACAACUUGGCUCUACAGCUGCGUCCUCGUCAGGUUGGACCAUUAGAUGGCGAUUAUUUCUUCACCUACUCGCAAAGCAUUGUGCUAGGGUUCAUUUCUUUGGCUUCGUUUGUAUGUGACAGGAGAGGCAGGACCUGGCUGAGUAAGUGAUGAUCACAUGCCUCCACCUAUACAGCAAAUGGAUCAAGAUAGUAAUUCAGAGAUCAGUUCAUUAGCUAAGUCUGAAAGAAAUACAAAUUUAGGGCACAAAUUAAACUUACCUCUCUGUUUUGUGCCUUGGUGAACUUAUCAGUUUAUCAGCAAAUAGGUGUUUCUUUUUAUUUUUUUAAACCUGGAUUUUUGUCUUGUGCCUAGAUUUUGAAAUGAAGUGGUCUGCUGCCUAGAUUUCAUAAAAUGGCUGGCCGUGAUCCAAUAUUCCCCUAAUUCAGUGUAUUCAUGAGUUAAAUGAGAAUAUCAGUAAUCAUAUUGAGAUCAUUUGUUGUUAGGUUCGAAUAACUAGGCCAUGCCUUUUGGCAUCUUGUUUGCUUGUACAAAUAUUUUGCUUCAGUAAUGUGUAGUCUCCAUGAACCAAACCAAAAUUGUGAGCACAUUGCUGGACCUCUCACUUUUAUGGUUCUCAGUAGUCAAACCAAUUCGGAUUUCUUAAUGUGGUGGUGAACCAAACAUUGACCAAUCAUUAUUAAUGUGGUAAUGUGUUGGCCAGCUCCAUAGACCCUAUUUGAUUUCAGCGUCGGGUCAAUCAAACAGGCCAAGGAAAUAGGAUAACCUAAGUUUGGUGCUGGGAAUCAAAUAGGGUCUACAGAGCAUGGUUUGUACUAAUCAAAGUUUUGUUGGAUAGCUGACUUGUAGGAUAAAUAUUCUACAUGUUCAAGUUAUAGCGGUGACAGUUGCUAAUUUAGAAUUCAGUGUCACAACAUUUCUAAAUUCUGAUGGCCUCCUAGAUUGUGCACUAUGCUUAUGGGAAGUAUGUUGUGUUUCAUAGAAGGAAUCAGUUUUAAUCUCAAUUUCAGCUUCUAUUCAUGGGCAUAAUCAGAGGUUUUAUUAAUUUUGACAUUUACAAAGUUGCAGAGGAUCAAAAGACCUUAAUCCAAUAAUAUCUCAAAAACUUUGGUAGAAUAGUUUAGUAAUUAUAGCCAUUUUGCAUAUUUUCUUUUUUCCCUACCAUACCAAGUAAAUAAUAUUUAGCUUAAAGCAGACAUAUUUAUUGUAGCGAAAGGUUGUGUUUUACGUCUGCCAGUUGGUUAUUUAACAUGGAACUCAUAUCUGUACUUUUAGAUCCCGUUCAUUGCCUAAAAAGAAAGUUGUAUGAAGCUAUUUACUGGUGAAGAAACUGCAGAUGACAGUGGUGGCAGUGACAGUGGUGAAGCCCACCUCUGAUCAGAGCAGUCCAAGCAAGGAUGUGUGAGUAAUGAAGCUCAUGUUGAUUGUCUCUGCCAGUUGCGGACAGCUUUUGUGUGGCCUUCGUCUCCGGCAAUAAAAGUCCGAUGCAUGGGAUCUGAAGUAUGCAUCGACCUCUGCGCUACAAACUGUGGCAUAGUGAUUAGCUUUUGGUUCCAGUUAUAUUUAAAGCUACCAGUUAGGUUGUUUGGUAGCUAUGCGUAUGCGUGUAGAUUUUUAUUGCUCGGAUGUGUGGUGCUUGGAUGCACUGUGAUGAUGAUUGAGAUGCCGGGCAGACACCUGAUGGAUAGGUGAUGCGGAUAUGUUGUAAUAUUUAUUAUUCAGAUGCCGGCCAGGCGGCCAGACACCUAAUGGCUAGGAUAGCGAUGUGUUGUGGUAUUUAUGAUUCAAAUGUCAUAGACAACUAUCUUAACAUGACGAUGAUGUGCUUAUUACUAGAUGUUAGUGGUUUCGUAUUGAAUUCA